AGUUCCACGUGCACAACCUUGUACAGGAGCAACUCUCCUUCAGCUGGCCGGCUCCUGGUUCACCAGCAACUCUCCUUCACCUGGCCAUUUCCUGGUUCACAAGCAACUCUCCUUCAGCUGGCCAGUUCCUGGUUCACAAGCAACUCUCCUUCAGCUGGCCGGUUCCUGGUACACGAGCAACUCUCCUUCAGCAGGCCGGUUCCUGGUACAUGAGCAACUCUCCUUCAGCAGGCCGGUUCCUGGUUCACGAGUAACUCUCCUUCAGCCAGCCAGCUCCUGGUUCACUCACUGCCUUGCUUUAGACUCUUUCAGGAUUUGCUUCGUUCAAGCUUUAAACACUGAUACAGCUCUGCAUCAGCCCUAAACAGAGUUCUUGUGUUCACAACCAAGCUGCCCUUCUCUAAGUGACGCCACCAGUCACGUGGCUUCUCUCUUCACGGUCAUGGUGCCACCGCUUCUGGGCAUCAGGUCCAUUCGGCCCUUAGGACCAUACUCCAUGCUGUGGUGACAAGACAGCUUACACAGACACGUGUUGGCCAGAACAGGAGGAUCAAGGGGCAGAGAGCAGAAGGACUGCCAUACGUAUACGUCCUCAGGAGACACAUGCUCUCCACUUCAGAUCUUCCCAGGUGUACGUGUGUGCAUCUACAUGGGUUUAUGUGUACCAUGUGCAUGCCGGAGCCCGCAGAGGUUAGAGGAGGCUGGUAGAGCCCCUGGAGCUGGAGUCACAGAUGACAGCGAGCAGCUUGACGUGGGUGCUGGGAACCAAGCUUGAGUCCUGUCCAUGGGUGGAAAGUGCUCUGCAUCCCCUCAGCCAGGUCUCCAGCACCGAGGAAAAUGAUUUCAAAGGGUGUAACAGCAGAAGAAUUAAAAUCGCAAGUCGCUUACUUACACUGUCACUAAGCAGGAGGCAGCAUCCUAUACCCAGUGCCUAUACCCCUAAAACAAAACCAAGGAAAUCCACAAGCAGCUUCGUGAUCUCGGACCCAGACAACUUGGGAUAGACAUACUACCUUCAAGAAUAAAACUAAUAAAAUCCAACCAGAAUGAAAUAGAUUCCUAAACUGCCUCGUGCCCUUAAAGCUAAAGUUACCAUUUAAAAGCCACACAAAAAGAAAUCUUUGCAGUACAAGGAUGCUAAAGUAGGAAUCCUCACCAUUUGCACCAUCUCUUCCAGACAAGAAGACAGGCUUUCCCUGCUCAUUUUACGAGGCUAGUGUUUAUUCUCACCACAGAACCUGACACAGAACAGGAGGGGAAACCACAGCCCAACACCUCUCGUAAACAUAGAUGCCGAAAUCAUCAGAAGAGACUGGCAGUGAGUGAGAGCCUAUACACCAGGACCGAGUGGCAUUUGUCCCAGGUUUAUAAGAUUGGCUCAAACUUUGAGAAUUAUUCAGUCAUUAUAACCGUCAUUAGAGGAGAAAGGGUACACCAUCAUAUCAGCUGAUGUACACACAACACUUGACAGUAUCCAUCGUCCACUUACUGUAAACAAAUGGCCUUAAGAUCCUUGGCAUGAAACUUCACGGUAGUGAGAAGCAGAAAGCAAGGGCUGGUGCUGGGAGGAGGAUUUGUAUUCAGGACUGGGACUGGAGAUGGCAGGUACAGCGAAGGGCUUGGAAGAGCCAGAGGUUCCUGCUGGCCAGAGCAGGACUGGAAACACAGAGGAGCAGCCUUCCCCGGGGAAGGAUUUAUGUUACUGUAAAUUGUCUGAAAUGUCAUAGAUGUUCCUGACACUUGGUGUGGCGGCCUCCCCAGUUCCUGUAAACGAAGGCAACAAGAAAUCCCGAGAUGGCACCACUGACACCAGCUGCUGCUUUCCUUUGGGCUAGUGAUGAUUCAGCAGGUAAAGCUCAAUUACUAUUUGGCCUGAGUUUGGAUUCGAGGACCCACAUGGGAUAGAGAGAGAACUGAUGCCUGCAAGCUGUCCUCUGACUUCCACACAGGUGUGCUGACGUGGACGCUCACUUCAUAAAUGAAUAAAUAAAUGUAAAGGGUGGUUUUUAAAGAGAAA